GACGAACGCUGGCGGCGUGCUUGACACAUGCAAGUCGAACGGAAAGGCCUGCUUUCCCUUGUGGAUUGCGGGUACUCGAGUGGCGAACGGGUGAGUAACACGUGAGUGAUCUGCCCCCAACUUGGGUAUAAGCCUGGGAAACUGGGUCUAAUUCCCGAUAGGACUGCAGGGUGGUGCCUGUGGUGGAAAACGAUUUUCUAGUGGUUGGGGAUGAGCUCGCGGCCUAUCAGCUUGUUGGUGGGGUAAUGGCCUACCAAGGCGGCGACGGGUAGCCGGCCUGAGAGGGUGGACGGCCACAUUGGGACUGAGAGACGGCCCAGACUCCUACGGGAGGCAGCAGUGGGGAAUAUUGCACAAUGGGCGGAAGCCUGAUGCAGCGACGCCGCGUGGGGGAUGACGGCCUUCGGGUUGUAAACUCCUUUCGACCGCGAGGAAGCCACCUGGUUGGAAGGGUGGUGACGGUAGUGGUAGAAGAAGCACCGGCUAACUACGUG
rnacentral:rRNA from 1 species